GUAGGUGGCAAGCGUUGUCCGGAAUUAUUGGGCGUAAAGCGCGCGCAGGCGGUUCUUUAAGUCUGAUGUGAAAGCCCACGGGCUCAACCGUGGAGGGUCAUUGGAAACUGGAGAACUUGAGUACAGAAGAGGAAAGCGGAAUUCCACGUGUAGCGGUGAAAUGCGUAGAGAUGUGGAGGAACACCAGUGGCGAAAGCGGCUUUCUGGUCUGUAACUGACGCUGAGGCGCGAAACCGUGGGGAGCAAACAGGAUUAGAUACCCUGGUAGUCCACGCCGUAAACGAUGAGUGCUAAGUGUUAGGGGGUUUCCGCCCCUUAGUGCUGCAGCUAACGCAUUAAGCACUCCGCCUGGGGAGUACGGCCGCAAAGGCUG
rnacentral:rRNA from 1 species